rnacentral:rRNA from 1 species
GACGUAGGGCGCGAGCGUUGUCCGGAUUUAUUGGGCGUAAAGAGCUCGUAGGCUGUUCGAUAAGUCGGGUGUGAAACCUCCAGGCUCAACCUGGAGACGCCACCCGAUACUGUCAUGACUAGAGUCCGGUAGGGGAGCGUGGAAUUCCUGGUGUAGCGGUGAAAUGCGCAGAUAUCAGGAGGAACACCAGCGGCGAAGGCGGCGCUCUGGGCCGGUACUGACGCUGGAGGAGCGAAAGCGUGGGUAGCAAACAGG